rnacentral:rRNA from 1 species
GGCGCUUACCACUUUGUGAUUCUUGACUGUGUUGAAGGCGUAACAAGUUAACCGUAGGGGAACCUGCGGUUGGAUCACCUCCUUACCUUAAAGAA